GUCGUAAAAGGGGACGCGGAGGAGAAGGAAAGUCGCUCAAGCAGUGGACAGAGCGGAGAAAGCGACUUCGGUGAAUGAAGGAGGGAAGAAAGGAGAGACAGAGAAAAUAUGGAUUUCCUCAUGGUUGUGAUUCCUCUUCACUCUUUUGAAUUUGGAAGGAUGGCAUACACAUCUGAAAAAUACCACUACUUCCUUCAUUGGACUGCAAGGUAUUUCUGUUUGGAAAAGUAAUGGAGUCCAGUCAACUUCAUUGAUCGCCAAGGACUGUCAAAAUUAUAAAACUUGCUGUGGAGCUCUGACAUGCCAGAAGCCGCUAGAAAAAGAAGUUUGACAUUCAGAAACUUAUCAAGAGGUUCUACUCUUUGGAUAGAGACCAAAAUCAUACUUUGAAGGGAUUGCAGUGGCAAAGCUAGGCUAGGUCUUGGAGGCUGGUGUAAGGCGAUGUGGGUGAAGGCAGGAGGCUGAUGGAAAGACUGGGGGGAAGAAAAGCCGAAAUGGAUUCACGGUGCCUUGGAUGAAGGACGAGAGGGGAACUGCAAGCUCCUUCAACUGGUUCUGUCCGGUGAGAAGUGAUCAAGCUUGGGCUGACAAGAGGCUCAGGGAGCCCUCACGUUCUUUCGCUUUUUUACCUGCCAAUCAAACUGCUACAAGACAACACCCUGAUCUGGCAUGGACAUCGCGGGUCCAAGCCUGUAGCCCCAAAUCGGAUAAUCUCUGCAGCUGAUAACAAGCAAAAGAGAAGCCAGGCAACAGCCAUAUUAAAGAAGAAAACAAUCAACUCUGAGAUCCAACUUAGAAAUAAUGUUUCAUUCAAGAUAAGGCUCGUGGCUUAGGAGAUUGUGACCUGGCUUGCAUCAUUCUAAGACUUCUAUCGUCUGUUUUCAAAACCCAAGGAGGACCUCCUUUUCUGUGUGAUAGUUCCUCAUGCUUUGCCAGCCACUGGGUCUUUAAGGAAGCUUGCCAAGAGUUCCCGGCUGGGAAGGACAGUUCGAGUUCAUCAUAGACAAUGAGCUGGCACCACAGUUUAAGUGACUCACCAACCUGGUUGCCCACUUCAAAAUGUCAAGAACCACACUAUCUAAUUGAAAGAACUGUGUUUUAGCAAAGUGUAAUUGGAUCGCCUGGCAAGAUCAUCUCAAACUAUGUCUCUGACCUUGCCUUUCAGUGGCUAUUUUGAGCACAAGAGGAGAAAGGAAAUGAUUCCUGAAUUAUAUCUUGUUUUUAAAAAUUAAGAUUAAUUAAUACUUGGUUUUAUGUUCAUUCCAUUGUAGGAACUUAGUGAUUAUUACAAAACAGUCAAAAUAGGUCAUAGCAAAAUGAACGUUUAAGAUUAGGUUAAAACAUUCCUCUGAAAUUUUAGUAUUCACUUUUGAAGUGUCAAUUACUAUAUUUCUGUAAUUUCUCAUUUUUUUCUUGGCUUAGAGUCAAGAUGAAAAAUGAUAUUUGAAUCAAAGACAUUGUUUUGUUAUAUAGCCACUCCUUUCUAAAAUGCAAAUCCACCCUCCCCUCACCAAUGCUUUAUUCUUUGUGCGCGCACACACACACACACACACACACACACACACACACACACACAGACAUACACAGAACCAGCACCCAAAUGGUAGAGGAGGUCCUUCCAAGACUUCUAGGACCUGGAUCAUGUAAGCAGUAGAUGAGAAAAUGAAGUAAGAGAUAUAGAGUAAUAACAAUAAAAGUCAAUGAUUUCAUUUUACAAAAAAGUCAUUGUGUAGUACUCAGAUAUUUUUAAGAGCAAGUAUUAUUAUGACUAAAGUAUAUUAUACUUCUAAAUUAUUAUGAUUCUCAUCUAAUUUCAAGCCACACAUAGGCGCCAUUUGAAAGCAUUUUGUGUUACAACCUAUCAACAAAAAUCAACUAAUAGUUUUAUAACGUGCAUAGGUUUACCCCAUGGGGAAUUAAAAUUUUUAUCUGCAAGUAUUUCUGUUGUUGUGAGACUUUAGGACAAGACAACAUUUGGUGUUAACAUAGAAGAAUAUUCUAUGGCUUUUUUAGCUUUAAAGUUCAUUACUCUAAAAUAAAGUACACGUGGUAUUUUUUUCUUCCUAGUGUUCUCUUAUUAUAUGUAGAGUAUUUUCGGUUGUUGUUUUUAACGUAUACAUUAUUUUUAUUAAGUCAUUUCAUAAAAGAUAAGAUAUAUACUAAUAGACCCUUGGUUUUCUCCUAAUUUAAUUAUUUCAAGUCAAGCAAAAUUGGGCAAUUUUCUUUCAGGAAAAAAAAAAUAUUGAGCAUGAUUUUGAGGUAAAACUGAUUAUUUACAGCAUCUUUUCUCUAAUAGGCUAACAUUUAUGAUGGAUCUUAUUUCAAAGUUGAUUAUUCUCAAAGAAAAGUGGAGAUAUUAGAAUUUCCGAGUAAAUUGCAUUGUUUUAAAAAGUACUUUAAUGCAUUGUUCACAUUGUUGCCAGCUAUUGACCAAAAAAGAGAAGAAGAAAAAAGAAAUAAAAAAAGCAGUAUCUGCUCCAAACGUCAAGUUUUGCAGUUUGAAAGACUUGUACAUUAUAAUUGUUUUUUUCUUUUUUGGAAAGCAGUAGUAAUUAAUACCAAAGGCAUAGACAAUUUAGGGCCAUAACCUCCCUUCCCCCCUCUCCACCUUUUUUUUUUUUUUUUUUUUUUUUUAACUUUAACCAUGAUAGGCAUCUCUGCAAGGUAGGUUUUAACAUAUUUUUUUCCUAAUUUUUUUCCCUCCAUUCAGUAAGAAGGAUAAGCUUUUAGAGUACCCAGUCACCGUGGUAACUGCCAAAAAAAUUCUCCUGAAGUUUGAAGAGGUCAGCUAGCAGGGUCAACAACCCUGGCCUCUCUCUGAGCUCGGUCUAGCAUGCCCCAGCCUGCGGUUGGAGUGUCAGGCCAGAUCUGACCCUGGGAGGUGGACCAUUCUGGCUCUGAUAUAAAUUUUUCGAGUCAGUUCAUGGCCUGGACUCUCCAGGUGGCCUCCAAAAUCGAUUUUGACCCCCUGACCCUGUCUCACGGAGGCAUAGCAUCCACCCUAAGUAAGGAUUUAGCCAGGAAUGACAGCUUUCCACUGAGUGUUAUUGGGGACAGUAUAAACAGUUUGGAAAGCAAGUAAGGAGGUGUGAGGGCUAGCAAUCAUUAAAAGCACAUUAAAAAACAAUUUUUAAAAAUCUUUAUUAGAGAAAGUUGUAAAUGCAUAUCUGUUACAGAAUUCCUGUGAUUUGUAGAGUUUUCUAGUCAGUUUUGAAUAUAAAUAGGUCACAUAUCUUUAUCUUUUUGCAUACUUUGUUACAAAUAUGCAAAUAAGAUAGGCAUACUUGCUACAAAAUAGGUACAGCAGGAAUGUAAUAUGUUCAGAAAAGGCAAACUGGUUAUUAAAACACAUUAACAGGUAAGGAGUUUCUAAUAUUUUAAAUACUAAAAUUUUACAUGUGUAUUUUGAAGUUUUUAAAAUGGAAAAAUAAAGAACCUUUAAAAAACCCAACAGUGUGGAAUAAAGAUAAACUUGUUGCACUCAAGGUACAUUUCUACUUUGUAAAGCAAGAAGCCAAUACACUCAGUUGGAUAAAAAUGAGAGAAAAAUUGUAAAUAUAGAGAGUUACAGCUUAUAGAGCUGAAGAGGAAUAAAACAAAAAAAAGUGUCUCUGAAUAACUUUAUGUAUUUUCAACAGUUUAAGAUAUCAGAAACUUGGAAAAUAAAUAUGAUAUAUAUAUAAAUCAUCAGUGAUUAUUUCCUUUUCAUUCCCCCCCGCCCCCAGGAUGCCACCGUGAGUGUUUGAUUUUCUCUAGGAAAGUAGAAUUCUCUUUGAGAGUUCUAGCCUGUGAACUCAGUAUGUAAAUGUGGCCAUCAAGAAGACAGAACUGCCAAGAGGAAAGAUUAUGAAUGUUUUUCUUCCUUAAAACCAUUCACAGUGUUUCUUCUUCCAGUGCUUUACUCAGACUUCUCCCCUUUUCCCAGCUCUGUUGAAAAUGGCUUCAAAAGCAACACUGCAGUGGCUAAACCAAUUGUACUGUGAAGUUGUUGAGAUGCCAUUUCAUCUGAAUCCUUCGUAAAAAUUAGAUUUUUAAGUAGGGGUGAAUAUCCUUUUGGGAGAGGGAAUGGGAGGGUAGAAGAAGGGGGGAAAGGACAGAGCA
rnacentral:lncRNA from 1 species